rnacentral:rRNA from 1 species
AUUGAACGCUGGCGGCAGGCCUAACACAUGCAAGUCGAACGAGUGGCGGACGGGUGAGUAAUGUCUGGGAAACUGCCUGCUGGAGGGGGAUAACUACUGGAAACGGUAGCUAAUAACGCAUAACAUCAGAUGUGCCCAGAUGUGAUUAGCUUGUUGGUGGGGUAAAGGCUCACCAAGGCCACGAUCCCCAGCUGGGCUGAGUGGCUGACCAGCCACACGGGAACUCAGACACGGUACAGACUCCUACGGGAGGAAGAAGUGGGGAAUAUGGCACAAUGGGCGCAAGCCUGAUGCAGCCAUGCCGCGUGUAUGAAGAAGGCCUUCGGGUUGUAAAGUACUUUCAGCGGGGAGGCGUUACCCGAAGAAGAAGCACCGGCUAACUCCGUGCCAGCAGCCGCGGUAAUUC